GAUUUCAACAACAUUUCGGUGAUAUUAUAUUCAACUCCGCUGCGCGUCGUUGAAUAUAAAUCACCUCGGGUUAAUAAAUCUCAAUAACCUAUGUUUACCUAUUGUAUAUCUACUUAAUAUUCUACGAUAUAUUACUGCCGAUAUAUUGCAGUGAUGUGAAGCCGCCGUUGCCACUUUUUAAAACUAAAUAUGGAUAUCGUGUAUUGAUAAAAAAAAAUUUAAGUCUAAAAAAAUAUGUGAUAAUUUUUCUGAUAUAGUCGUGGUUGUAAGUCAUAUCUGCUAAAAGGUAGCGGUACGUGAUAAAUCUAAAUUUUUUGGUCUUCUUUCAAGAUAAAGGGCAAAGAGAGCUUAACACGUCAUUUCCAAUUGCAAUUACAGUUUCUUUCAGUAAUAACACCACCAUCCACGCGAAAGUUAUGGAGAAUUGUUUUAUUUCUGUAACAAUUUCAUCGGGCAACAUGUUAAGUUAAAUGAACUAAUCAAUCAAUCGCGUCAUAUUGGGUUCAGAGAAAGGAAAAUUCAAAUGAAUCAAUCAUUGGCAUAAUAUGAGGUAUUUGUCAGUGUACAUUACAAGGCAAUCAAGAAAAAUUCGUAUAAAAAAUUAGGAUAUGUGAACCAUUAUAAUUGAUUAGAGCUAAAGGAGGCUUGGUAGUAAGGAUAAUGCACAUUAAGGAAAAGAUUGAACCGUCACAAAAAAAUAGUACUAUCCAUGGUAGUAUAUGGUAUCAUUUAUAUAGAGAGACAACUUGACAAAACAUAAAAUUACACCAGAAAGUAACAGUCAUGAAGCAGACGAAUAGCAGGUCGAUAAAUAUUGACCUGUAUUGUUGCAAGGUUACAAUCAAAAGAAUCGACAGCAAUGGUGACGUCACAGUUGGACAUGUGCCAUAAGAACUGUCAAGAUUUGUAUUUUUUUUAUUCAUAUAAAAGGAUUCGUUACUCGAACAGUUGAAUAUCUUGUUCCAAGAUCUUUGCCAAUUCCAGAAGUCGGCAUUGAAAUUGCAAAUUCGUUGCAGUUCACUCACUAAAGCAAUAUUGUUGAAAAAAGAAACUUGUUUACACGCAACUUAUAAAGGAUGACAAAAUUUGUUUUUAAGCAGCAGGUUGGAUAAAUACGACAACAGGAAUAGAAAGAAGAAGAAACAGACGGAGAAUGUUUGAUAAAAGUUGAGGCGGACGAUUGGGAAGAUAGUGAUCAAGGCAAAUAAACAAUAGAUAUUAAUUAUAUAUAAAAGGUGUUGUUAAAAAAUACCUAAUAAAUAAUAAAAUACCUAAUAAUAAAAAAUUCAUAAUUUUUAGGAGGGUUAAUUCAGUAUUUUAUAUUCCCUGAAGAAGCGUAACACACAGCCCUAAGUGGCGUUACACCAAACUUUUUGAGUUGCAGCAUUGAGUUGCGAAAAAAAUGACUCAUGCAAACUUUGGC